AAGCACAUUUCAUUGUCCUGCUCUCUGACCUUGUGAGAGAUGAGAUAUUUCUGAUGUGCUAGAUAAAUCCUGGUGGUAAAUUAGCAGGCUGGCUAUGCUGUGCCAGAGCCUGCCAGUCCCCUUCAGACAGUU
ensembl:snoRNA